rfam:Dipodomys ordii contig_73520, whole genome shotgun sequence.
GGUGGCUCAGUGGUAGAGCGCUUGUCUUGCAUGCCUGAGGCCCUGGGUUCGAUUCCCAGCACCA